rnacentral:tRNA from 1 species
GGAGAGAUGGCAGAGUGGUCGAUUGCACUUGUCUUGAAAACAAGCAUACGGCGACGUAUCCGGGGUUCGAAUCCCUGUCUCUCCG